GUUCUUCAUAUUGUACUUCUUCUGAAUUGUGUUAGAGCUGUAUCUGUGAGAUUUCUGAUUUCACGAUAGAAAACAUUGCAAGGAUUGGAGUUUUCCCAAUAUGGUAUCCUGACUCAGCAGGACUUUUUUCCCCUUGCUGAGAGACAGUUGGUUUCGCCGCCAAAGCUGGCUAUUUUGGUAGCACACUUCCCAGAUUUGAAUGGGAGCUACUUUGAAUGACUCAAGAUGACUCUUGGAUGACUGAGAAGAGGACCUAAAAGAUAGCACUUCUCAGUGGGGAGCAGUCAGAGGGUGCUUAAAUUGAGCUUUGCAUUCUGGAAUAUCCACCCAAAAAUGACACAAGAUAGGACAUCAGCAUUAUCCCUUGAUUUGCCAAGGGCAGAGAU